GGGAGGUCCUGAUGCCAACAGAUUCAGCUAGCCUAGUCUCUUCCUUCUGCCAAGGAUCAGCCUGGUCUUGGAGAGGGAUUCUGAGGAAGAGGCGUUCCAGAGCAUCUAAAAGAACGGCAUGAAGGCACUGCCUGCCACGGACAUCAUGGACCACACACCAUCUGAAUCCAAUGAUUUGUGGCAGAAAGGCCCCUACAGAAGAGGAAGGAGGACAGCGAUUCACAGACACUGGCUGAGCAGUUUUUAUAGCAAUUCUUCCCCAGGUCCCAAAUGUGGACCCCUGAGGUGAAGUUAGAAUUUCCAGUAGACCACUCUCCUACUUUAGCAGCUGCUUGGAGGCCCUAUUCCUCUGAAGACUAUCUUGGGUUUCUUGGGAACCAACUUCAUUCUGACCUCAUGAGAUGUGUUGGGAAUAUAACAUUCUUGUUUAAAAUAUGAAUGUCACCAACAUCUCAAAUAACCCUCAACUUUCUUGCCAUUCCUUUGAUAACAUCAUUAAUAGGAGGCAGGGUGGCUGGAGGAGAGGUGCUUGGUAUGGUUCCUGUUGAGUGUUCGAUUCCCUCAUACCUCACCAGACAACGGACUGGUGGUUUGAGGUCUGUGGUUGAAGAAACAUUUGAUUCUGUAGGAUAUUCUGUGGUUGACUCCUCAGUAAAUGGGACCAGCGUUAAAACCACACUUUCUUUAUCCAAUUCUUCCUCAGAUUGGUUCUUGUUGUAAGUCUCCUGGUAUGACAUUUUCAGGCAGGCUUGGGAGAAGACAAAAGCACUCUAUUUUUUUUUUUUAAAACAUUGCAAAUUAAUUCAGAGAUCCGAAUGCCUUUAAAAGCACAGACAAUAAGAUACCUGGAUGGGAUCCUGUUCUGAGAUUCCCUUGUCACCAUGCCUGGGCCUGGACCUAAACUUGCUCUGUUCUAGGCUAGUUUUGAACUCAAGAAUCUACCUGCCUUUGUAAGCAUGAACAACAAUAAACUUAUCUGGAUGGGAUCUUGCCCACAAUC
rnacentral:lncRNA from 1 species